CCGCGGUGAUACGUAGGGGGCAAGCGUUGUCCGGAUUUAUUGGGCGUUAAAGAGCUCGGUAGGCGGUUUGAUAAGUCGGGUGUGAAAUCUCCAGGCUCAACCUGGAGUCGCCACUCGAUACUGUCAUGACUAGAGUCCGGUAGAGGAGCGCGGAAUUCCUGGUGUAGACGGUGAAAUGCGCUGAUAUCAGGAGGAACACCAGCAGCGAAGGCGGCGCUCUGGGCCGGAACUGACGCUGAGGAGCGAAAGCGUGGGUAGCAAACAGGAUUAGAUACCCUGGUAGUCCACGCCGUAAACGUUGGGCACUAGGUGUGGGACCUUAUCGACGGGUUCCGUACCGUAGCUAACGCAUUAAGUGCCCCGCCUGGGGAGUACGGCCGCAAGGCUAAAAC
rnacentral:rRNA from 1 species